UGCCGCAAAACGCCGGCGCCUUUACAGCACUUUACGACUAAGCUGGAGGAGAUGGGCAAGCCGGCUCCUGCGGGGGAGACCCGGUUACGGCUCAACUUGCAGUGAGCCGCCGGCUGCUGGGGCGGGGAGGUGAAGGGUUAGUAGGCCAGGGGGGUCCGUCCAGUGCCCCCAGCAUGGCCUUUGGGGAAGGACGAGGCCGCCUCCCGAUUCCCCUAGCCAGUGGCUUAACCAUCUCCAUCCUGGGACUGGGUACUUCCUGAAGGUGGUUACUCCAAUGAGCUGUGGUACGUGCACUAAAAGAAUGUGGUGCUCAUCAUACUGGCACAGCCAAAAGAUAUGGGUGUAACUGUCUCUUGGGAGAAGGCACCAAGGACAGUGCCAUGAAAUGUGAGGAUCUCUGGAUGACCACAGAAUUGUAGCUCAGUGACUAUGGCUUUGCAAACACUAUACAGUCGUGUCUGAAGUCCUGUGGACAGUUUGGAGUAGAGUACAUAGGUGUUUGAUCCAAUGUUAGAAGACUGCAUUUGAUGAGAACCAAGACAACAUCUACUCUAGCUGUCUGGGCAGCAGUGUGCGUCACACCACAGACAGCCCGCCCAGCCACUUGUUUCCGGUUCCUGUUUUUGUCUGAAAAUGGCACUUGGGAAUUAAAAGUUAGUUCUAGAAGA